rnacentral:rRNA from 1 species
AUUGAACGCUGGCGGCAGGCCUAACACAUGCAAGUCGAACGAGUGGCGGACGGGUGAGUAAUGUCUGGGAAACUUCCUGGUGGAGGGGGACAACUACUGGCAACGGUAGCUAAUACCGCAUACAAUCACCUGUGUCCAGGUGGGAUUAGCUUGUGGGUGGGGUAACGGCUCACCAAGACGACGAUCCCUAGCUGGUCUGAGAGGAUGAACAGCCAAACUGGAACGUGGACACGGUCCAUACUCCUACGGGAGGCAGCAGUGGGGAAUAUUGGACAAUGGGGGAAAGCCGGAUGCAGCCAUGCCGCGUGUAUGAAGAAGGCCUUCGGGUUGUAAAGUACUUUCAGCGGGAAGGCGUUACCUGCAGAAGAAGCACCGGCUAACUCCGUGCCAGCAGCCGCGGUAAUAC